UACGGCGAGUGAGCGGCAAAAGCUCAAAUUUGAAAUCUGGCACCUUCGGUGUCCGAGUUGUAAUUUGAAGAAGGUAACUUUGGAGUUGGCUCUUGUCUAUGUUCCUUGGAACAGGACGUCACAGAGGGUGAGAAUCCCGUGCGAUGAGAUGCCCAAUUCUAUGUAAAGUGCUUUCGAAGAGUCGAGUUGUUUGGGAAUGCAGCUCUAAGUGGGUGGUAAAUUCCAUCUAAAGCUAAAUAUUGGCGAGAGACCGAUAGCGAACAAGUACAGUGAUGGAAAGAUGAAAAGAACUUUGAAAAGAGAGUGAAAAAGUACGUGAAAUUGUUGAAAGGGAAGGGCUUGAGAUCAGACUUGGUAUUUUGCGAUCCUUUCCUUCUUGGUUGGGUUCCUCGCAGCUUACUGGGCCAGCAUCGGUUUGGAUGGUAGGAUAAUGACUAAGGAAUGUGGCUCUACUUCGGUGGAGUGUUAUAGCCUUGGUUGAUACUGCCUGUCUAGACCGAGGACUGCGUCUUUUGACUAGGAUGUUGGCAUAAUGAUCUUAAGCCACCCGUCUUG
rnacentral:rRNA from 1 species